CCCUAAAACCCUAAAGUUGAGACCCUAGGGUACCCCAAACGCUCACGCCCCAAGAGGAAUCAGAUAUCCUCUUUUUCUGUCGCACAGAAGGACCCGCCCCCUCUCUGUUCAUGCCCCCUCUAUCUAAGAAAUUAUUCUCAUGGUAAAACUCUCUUUUUUUUAUCGCACAAAAUAGAGGCAUUUUUAUUGUUGACAUUAAGAGUGGAUAAGGAUAAGGAUAAAGUGGUUGUUUUAGUUUAAAUUCAAACUCUUUGAAUUCA
rnacentral:lncRNA from 1 species